rnacentral:sRNA from 1 species
AGCAGCCGCGGUAAUUCCAGCUCCAAUAGCGUAUAUUAAAGUUGUUGCAGUUAAAAAGCUCGUAGUUGAAUUUCGGGGUCAGUAGGUCGGUCGUGCCACAGGUAUGCACUGGUCUCACUGAUUCCUCCUUCCUGAUGAACCGUAAUGCCAUUAAUUUGGUGUUGCGGGGAGACUGGACUGUUACUUUGAAAAAUUAGAGUGUUUAAAGCAGGCUAACGCUUGAAUACAUUAGCAUGGAAUAAUGAAAUAGGACGUUCGAUCCUAUUUUGUUGGUUUCUAGGAUUGACGUAAUGAUUAAUAGGGAUAGUUGGGGGCAUUAGUAUUCAAUUGUCAGAGGUGAAAUUCUUGGAUUUAUUGAAGACUAACUACUGCGAAAGCAUUUGCCAAGGAUGUUUUCAUUAAUCAAGAACGAAAGUUAGGGGAUCGAAGACGAUCAGAUACCGUCGUAGUCUUAACCAUAAACUAUGCCGACUAGGGAUCGGAUGAUGUUAAUUUUUAAUGA